rnacentral:tRNA from 1 species
AGUUAAAUAGUUUAAAUAAAAUAUUAAAUUGCAAAUUUAAGGAUAGAAUUUAAUUUCUUUUAGCUU